AUGGUUUCUUAUUCGCUAGGUAGAUACCAAGACACAAAGCCAAAAGAAGUAGAAUGAGAAGACCAACUUUCACAGCUGUAACAAGAGAGAAGUGAUAAAUGGAGACUAUAAAACACAAAUACCAGACUUAGAUACUACAAAAAUGCAGAUAUUUUAUUCUCAAGCCUCAAUAUUCACUGCAAAAAAAAAAAAAAGGGGGUGUGACUUCUGUAUCUCUAAGUUGUAACUUAUAUGUAACAAAAAGGAUGCAAACAUGUAAUUGUCAGGACGACCAAAUUCAUCUUUAUGAAAAGCUAACCACAAAUCAAAAGUUGGAUACAGCCUUAAAUUAAAUCAAUAAAUAAAUAAGAAUAUAAUUUAAUAAUUCAUUUGAAUACACUCAGAGCCGCCACAACGGGGCAGGCAACCCAGGCAAUUGCCUGAAGGGGGCCCCGAGGGACGGCUGACGUCAAUGACAAAAUAAUGGAACUGCUUUAGACGCUGCAACGACAACUCAUCGGAAAUCCCCCGCACAGGGCCCUUUCCGAGUUGUCACUGGCUAGUUGCUAGUAGGGGGCCCCGACAGACGGCUGAUAUCGCUCCAUAUCAGCGACACAACUUGAAACCCCCGUAGACACUGCAAUGACAGGUCGGGAAUAAUCUCCCUAAUGGGGCCCCCUUACUAGCCAGCAUCGACGGUCCCGGUCAAACACACAGAUGAAAAAAUGAAGCGAACAUAUCUCUCUGGGCACACGAAAAGAAAAACAAAACAAGAAGAGGAUGAAAAGAAAAAACGUCACAGUGGCGCUUUGUUGAAGUUUUUCUGGCCCACAACAACAACAGCAGCAGCAGCAGCAACAGCAGACCUCUACACAUCAAAGUAGAAACUUAUUUAGUUUCCUUUUUAAAGUUAAGAUUACAGUGACUUGCUCUCCCAUUUAAAAUAUAUCAUGGGAUCUAUCUGAUCUAAUAUGACUACACAAAUAUUUUUCUUAAACAAUUAUUUCUUAUACUAUUUUCGUUCU
rnacentral:lncRNA from 15 species